CUUUUCUUAUUUCUGACCAUAGGGGAGAAAUGAUUCAAUCUUUCACGAGUAAUUUGAUAUUUAUGUUAGCUAGAAGUUUCUUGUAGCUGUCCUUUAUCAAAUCAAGAAAACUUACUUCUAUACCUAGUUUGUUGAGUUUUUUUUUUCAUAAUUGAAAGAACAUAGUAUUCUGACAAAUGCUUUUUCUACAUGUAUUAAGGUCACCAUAUGUUUUUUCUUUUUUUGUUUGCUUGCAUUAAGAAAUAUGUUGAUUGAUUUUUGAGUGUUAAGCUAACCUGGCAUGCCUGGAAUAAAACUGGUCAUGAUUUAUUAUCCUUUUCAUAUAUUGUUUAAUUUGAUUGGUUAACAUUUUGUUAAAAAAUUUUGCAUCUAUGUUUAUUAGGAACAUUGGUUUGCAGUUUUCUUUUUUUUAAAAUGUCUUUGCCUGGAUUUGUUGUUGGAAUAAUCCUGAAAUCAAUGCAUAACUUGAAGGAGUUUCGCUCCUGUUGCCAAGGCUGGAGUGCAAUGGCGUGAUCUCAGCUCACCGCAAACUCUUCCUCCGGGUUCAAGCGAUUCUCCUGCGUCAGCCUCCUGAGUAGCUGGGAUUACAGGUGUGCACCACUAUGCCUGGCAUAAGUUUGUAUUUUUAGUAGAGAUGGGGUUUCUCCAUGUUGGUCAGGCUGGUCUUGAACUCCCGACCUCAGGUGAUCUGCCCUCCUCGGCCUCCCAAAGUGCUGGGAUUACAGGCGUGAGCCACUGCGACCAGCCCAUAAAGUGGUUUUAUACUCAGGAGCAGCAACAGCAUUCAAAUUUUCGGCCUUCCACAUUAGUGCUCUUACGGUAGAGGCAGAGGGAUUCUGGAAAGUGAGAAUUGUUUCUCAGAACUUAGCAUAGAGCUUGUUCCUUUACGGUUUCUUUUUUUUCUUUUUUAAUUUUUUGUGGGUACAUGAGAUAUUCUGAUACAAGCAUGAAAUGUGUAGUAAUCACAUGAGUAAAAAUGGGGUAUCCAUCACCUCAAGUGUUUAUCCUUUGUGUUGCAAACAAUCCAAUUAUAAUAUUUUUGUUACUUUUAAAUGUACAAAUUAAUUAUUAUUGACUAUAGUCACCCUGUUGUACUAUCAAAUACUAGGUCUUAUUUAUUCUUUCUAACAAGUUUUUGUACACAUUAACCAGUCCUGCUCCCUCCCACCUCCCACCAAGCCUCAUUACUCUUGCCAGCCUCUGGUAACCACCUUCUACUCUCUAUCUCCAUGAAUCCAAUUGUUUUAAUUUGUAGUUCCCACAAAUCAGUGAGAACGUGUUAUGUUUGUCUUUCUGUGCCUGGCUUUUUUCCCUUAACAUAAUGACCUCCAGUUCUAUCCUUGUUGUUGUAAAUGACUGGAUCACAUUCUUUUUUAUGGCUGAAUAGUACUCCACUGUGUAUGUAUGCCACAUUUUCUUUAUCCAUUCACCUGUUGAUUGACACUUAGGUUGCUUCCAAGUCACUAUUGUGACUUAGUCUUGCAAUAAACAUGGGAGUGUAGAUUUUCUUUGAUAUAUGUAUUUCUUUUCUUUUGGUGAUAUACCUAGCAAUGGGCUUGCUGGAUUGUAUGGUAGCUCUAUUUUUGUUUUUUUGAGGAAUGUCUAAACUCUUUUUCAUAGUGAUUGUACUAACUUACAUUCCCAGCAAUAGUGUACAAGGGUUCCUUUUGCUCCACAACCUCUCCAACAUUUGUUCUUGCCAGACUUUUGGAUAAAAGCCAUUUUAACUGGGGUGAGAUGAUAUCUCAUUGUAGUUUUGAUUUGCAUUUCUCUGAUGAUCAGUUAUGAUGAGCACAUUUUCAUAUACCUGUUUGCCAUAUAUAUGUCUUUUUUUGAGAAAUGUUUAUUCAGAUCUUUUGCCCAUUUUUAAAUUGGAUUAUUAGAUUUUUUCCUAGAGAGUUGUUUGAACUCCUUAUACAUUCUGAUUAUUAAUUCCUUGUCAGAUGGGGAGUUUGCAAAUAUCUGUGGGUUGGCUCUUCAUGUUGUCGGCUCUUCAUGUUGUUGCUUGUCUCCUUUACUGUGCAGAAGCUUUUUAACUUGAUGUGACCCCGUUUGUUCAUUUUUGCUUUGGUUUCCAGUGCCUGUGUGGUAUUACUCAAGAAAUCUUUGCCAACCCAAUGUCCUGGAGAGUUUCCUCCAUGUUUUCUUUCAGUAGUUUCAUAGUUUGAGGCCCCAGGUUUAAGUUUUCAAUUCAUUUUGAUUUGCUUUUUGUAUAUGGUUAGAGACAAGGGUCAAGUUUCAUUCUUUUGCAUAUGAAUAUCCAGUUUUCCCAGCACCAUUUAUUGAAGAGACUGUACCUAUUACACAAAGCAAUCUACAGAUUCAAUGCAAUCAAUCAGUCUCUAUCAAAACACCAAUUUAUUGGCCUAUAGUUGCUGAUAGUAGCCACUAAUUAUCCAUUAGAUUUCUGUGGUAUCAGUUGUAAUGUCACCUUUUUCAUCUCUGAUUUUAUUUAUUUGAGUCUUGUCUCUUUUUUCCUUAGUCUGGCUAAAAUUUAGUCAAUUUGGUUUAUCUUUUCAAAAAACUAGCUUUUUUGUUGAUCUUUUAUUUUGUUUUCUCCAUUUCACUGUCAUUUAUUUCUGCUCUGAUCUUUAUUAUUUCUUCUCUUCUACUAAUUUUUGGUAUGGUUUUUCUUGCUAUUCUAGUUCUUAAGAUGCAUUGUUAGGCUAUUUUUUGAAUUAUUUUUCUUCUUUGAUGAAAGCACAUAUAGCUAUAAACUUCCCUGUUAGUACUGCCUUCAUAGUAUCUCACAGGUUCUGGUAUGUUGUGCUUCCACUAUCACUUGUUUCAAGAAUUUUUUCAAUUUCAUUCUUAAUGU
rnacentral:lncRNA from 1 species